UUCGGGGCUUUUUGGUGAUUCAUGAUAACUUUACGGAUCGCAUAGCCUUGCGCUGGCGACGGUUCAUUCAAAUUUCUGCCCUAUCAACUUUCGAUGGUAAGGUAUUGGCUUACCAUGGUUUCAACGGGUAACGGGGAAUUAGGGUUCGAUUCCGGAGAGGGAGCCUGAGAAACGGCUACCACAUCCAAGGAAGGCAGCAGGCGCGCAAAUUACCCAAUCCCGACACGGGGAGGUAGUGACAAUAAAUACUGAUACAGGGCUCUUUUGGGUCUUGUAAUUGGAAUGAGUACAAUUUAAACCUCUUAACGAGGAACAAUUGGAGGGCAAGUCUGGUGCCAGCAGCCGCGGUAAUUCCAGCUCCAAUAGCGUAUAUUAAAGUUGUUGCAGUUAAAAAGCUCGUAGUUGAAACUUGGGCCUGGCUGGCGGGUCCGCCUCACCGCGUGCACUCGUCCGGCCGGGCCUUCCUUCUGAAGAACCUCAUGCCCUUCACUGGGCGUGCUGGGGAAUCAGGACUUUUACUUUGAAAAAAUUAGAGUGUUCAAAGCAGGCCUUUGCUCGAAUACGUUAGCAU
rnacentral:rRNA from 1 species